CUAUGUGUUGUUGGGUAGGGGAGCGUUCUGUAAGCCUGUGAAGGUGUGCUGUGAGGUAUGCUGGAGGUAUCAGAAGUGCGAAUGCUGACAUAAGUAACGAUAAAGCGGGUGAAAAGCCCGCUCGCCGGAAGACCAAGGGUUCCUGUCCAACGUUAAUCGGGGCAGGGUGAGUCGACCCCUAAGGCGAGGCCGAAAGGCGUAGUCGAUGGGAAACAGGUUAAUAUUCCUGUACUUGGUGUUACUGCGAAGGGGGGACGGAGAAGGCUAUGUUGGCCGGGCGACGGUUGUCCCGGUUUAAGCGUGUAGGCUGGUUUUCCAGGCAAAUCCGGAAAAUCAAGGCUGAGGCGUGAUGA
rnacentral:rRNA from 1 species